rnacentral:rRNA from 1 species
UACGUAGGGGGCAAGCGUUAUCCGGAUUUACUGGGUGUAAAGGGAGCGUAGGUGGUUUGGUAAGUCAGAUGUGAAAGCCCAGGGCUCAACCCUGGGACUGCAUUUGAAACUAUCAGACUGGAGUGCAGGAGAGGUAAGUGGAAUUCCUAGUGUAGCGGUGAAAUGCGUAGAUAUUAGGAGGAACACCAGUGGCGAAGGCGGCUUACUGGACUGUAACUGACACUGAGGCUCGAAAGCGUGGGGAGCAAACAGG